UUCCUCUUUCUGUUCCAGGAGCCAUUCCAGGGAACCGCACUGCAGUGAGUUGUCAAGCCUCCCCAGCCUUCUCAGCUCUGUGACAGAUUUCCACUCUUUCCUUUGUUUUUAUGACCUUGAUCGUAUUGAGAAAUGCUGGCAAGGUAGCCUGCAACCUAGCCUCUAAUCCAGAACCCUGCUCCUGCCGUCUGAACACAGUUGGCCCUUGGCCUUGUCUUGUAGAAGAGAAGAGCUCGUUUGUCCAAGUGAAAGCCCUUCC
rnacentral:lncRNA from 1 species